GGUUGCUGCUGGUUCUCUAGGGAGCAUGUGCACACUUGUCAUCUUUUAUAUGCUCCACCUGUGCACUUUUUUGUAGACCUGGAAUACAGUUUGAGGAUUGACUUUAUGUCUUUCCUGUACAUUUUUCAGGCCUAUGUUUCAUAUAACUCCCUCAAUGUAUGUUAUAGAAUGUAAUUGAAAUUUGGCCUUUGUGGGCCUUAUUCUAAUACAACUUUCAGCAACGGAUCUCUUGGCUCUCGCAUCGAUGAAGAACGCAGCGAAAUGCGAUAAGUAAUGUGAAUUGCAGAAUUCAGUGAAUCAUCGAAUCUUUGAACGCACCUUGCGCUCCUUGGUAUUCCGAGGAGCAUGCCUGUUUGAGUGUCAUUAAUAUAAUCAACCUCCCUCAGGUUUUGCUUGCUGUGGAGUGUUGGAUGGUGGGGGUUUUGCUGGUCUUAAAAUGAGGUCAGCUCCCCUAAAAUGUAUUAGCGGAACAAAUUUGUUGGACCGUUCAUUGGUGUGAUAGUUAUCUACGCUAUUGACGACGUGAAGGCAAAGGUUUUUCAGCUUCUACAGUCCCAUUGACUUGGUACA
rnacentral:rRNA from 1 species